rnacentral:rRNA from 1 species
GAUGAACGCUGGCGGCGUGCCUAAUACAUGCAAGUCGAGCGAACGGACGAGAAGCUUGCUUUUCUGAUGUUAGCGGCGGACGGGUGAGUAACACGUGGAUAACCUACCUAUAAGACUGGGAUAACUUCGGGAAACCGGAGCUAAUACCGGAUAAUAUUUUGAACCGCAUGGUUCAAAAGUGAAAGACGGUCUUGCUGUCACUUAUAGAUGGAUCUGCGCUGCAUUAGCUAGUUGGUAAGGUAACGGCUUACCAAGGCAACGAUGCAUAGCCGACCUGAGAGGGUGAUCGGCAACACUGGAACUGAGACACGGUCCAGACGCCUAGGGGAGGAGGAAGUAGGGAAUCUUCCGCAAUGGGCGAAAGCCUGACGGAGCAACGCCGCGUGAGUGAUGAAGGUCUUCGGAUCGUAAAACUCUGUUAUUAGGGAAGAACAUAUGUGUAAGUAACUGUGCACAUCUGGACGGUACCUAAUCAGAAAGCCACGGCUAACUACGU